rnacentral:lncRNA from 1 species
GGAGGAGCGGGACCAGAUUGUUCCAGAGGCUGUUAAAGUGGCUCUGGGACCAAACCCAGACCUUGGUCCUGGCACUCCAGGUUAUCUGCAGCGAGCAGAGGCUGAGGUGCCGACCCGCCAACCAGACUGGGACCCCAGCACCUAUGCAGCCCUCCAGGUAAUCCAACAGAAACUGUGGAAUCUGGUUUGGGAGGCCAGGCCAGGCCAGCCCCUCAACCUGAUGUCAGCCACCAUAAAUUUCAGCCUGGAGAUCUAGUGCUGAUAAAGAGACAUUCAUCUAAGGCUCUGGAGCCACAUUGGGAGGGACCUUUCCAGGUGAUUUUAAUGCCAUCUGCCAUAAAGGUCACAGAAAAAACACCAUGGCUACAUCACUGCCACAUCAAAGCGGCUCCUGAGGACACCCUGGAGGACAAAUGGGGGAUCAUCAGUCAAUGAGGCAACAAAAAGUUAAGACUGGGACAUGUUGGAAAUACAUCCCCUUCUUGUUAAUAUUUUCUAAAACAUUGACAAUAUUACCCCCAAAACAAUUGGACCAUACUGGUAAUGUUUGUAUUCAACUGACACAAUCACUUAAUUUGUCUGAGUCCUGUUUAAAUGUAGAUAUAAAUUUACGUUAUGUAUUAGGGAGCUGUCUCGUCCCAGUGUGCACUCCCUUGAGUCUGAUACAACCUUAUACUCUGUUUAA